UACAGAGGUCUCAAGCGUUGUUCGGAUUCAUUGGGCGUAAAGGGUGCGUAGGCGGCGCGGUAAGUCGGGAUGUGAAAUCUCGGAGCUUAACUCCGAAACUGCAUUCGAUACUGCCGUGCUUGAGGACUGGAGAGGAGACUGGAAUUUACGGUGUAGCGGUGAAAUGCGUAGAUAUCGUAAGGAAGACCAGUGGCGAAGGCGGGUCUCUGGACAGUUCCUGACGCUGAGGCACGAAGGCCAGGGGAGCAAACAGG
rnacentral:rRNA from 1 species